UACGUAGGGUGCGAGCGUUAAUCGGAAUUACUGGGCGUAAAGUGUGCGCAGGCGGUUUUGUAAGCCAGAUGUGAAAGCCCCGGGCUUAACCUGGGAAUGGCAUUUGGGACUGCAAGGCUGGAGUUUGGCAGAGGAGACUGGAAUUCCUGGUGUAGCAGUGAAAUGCGUAGAUAUCAGGAGGAAUACCGAUGGCGAAGGCAGGUCUCUGGGCUAUAACUGACGCUCAUGCACGAAAGCGUGGGGAGCAAACAGG
rnacentral:rRNA from 1 species